rnacentral:lncRNA from 1 species
CAAUUUAAACUUACUAAAACUUUCAUAAUCAGGGAAAAUCAAUUAAAAUCAAACAAAACCCGUGAUUUGGGCCAAAGCAAAUUCAAAUCAAAUUGAAAUCAGCCUAGAACCAAUUAGAAGGUCCUAGAAAACUAAAAAUUACUACUUUGUCCCAUUUCUUUCUCUCUCUCCCUCACCUUGCUACCGAUCCCUCCGGCCACCGCUUACCCUAAUCUUGGUCCGUCGUAGUGCAAGCAAAACAGAAGAAGAGGUUGUGGUACUUUCCGAUUCAAGCUCCACCUGCGAUUUCGGCCACCUGAGCUUAAGUCGCUUCGACCAAAGCUCCUUGCUGUGUCAUUCCUCCGUUGUUCACUCUCUCUCUCUGCUAUUGUUUUCGGCUGACGCAGCAAUCAGGUGAAGCUGCAAUUGUGGUUGCGAUCGGGACAGUCAGCUUUUUGUCCCUCCUUGCAUUUUUCGGUGAAACCAGCCAAGGACUGGCUGGUCUAGGUCUCCCAUGUCACCACCAGUCUUCCUCCGAUGAGUCCCCUUCCCAUUUCCCAGACUAAUGACGGCUGCAGUAGCUAGAUUGGAGAGUAGAUGUAACUACCGAUCAUUUUUACCGAAAAGGUUCGAUCUCCGAUGCGUUUUACAAAAUUGGGUAAGCUGAUUUUCAACCCUCUUUGUUAUAUUUUAUGGAUUCUUUGAUCUUAGCUGAAGGAUUUGAGGAAUAAUUAAGUUAGUGUAGAAAUUGAAAUCCCUAGCUACUAUUUCUGUGAGUUAACUUAGAAAAUUUUGCUAUUGUUAUUAGAAGCUAUAAUUUGAGUUUCUAGAUAAGUGUGAGUAGAUUACCAUGUUUAUGUCUUAUUCUAGUGAAGAAAUCAAAGAUUCUUUGAUAUGGCAGCGGCUAUUUAGCCAUUAGCUUGAGUUUUAAUGAAGGAAAUAUAAAUCAUGUGCUAAUCUCUUGAUGGGAAAUUUUGAUCUUUACCUUUUAAUUGAUAUAUAACCUGAAUUAUUGUAUAGAAUUAGGUAGAUUAUUUGCUUAUAUUACAAAUUUUUUGCAAAGAAAUGAAGGAUUUCUUAAUUACGGCAGCAACUAAAUCAAGGAUUUCCUAAAUACGACAGCAACUAACUUACUUGUUUAUAUGAUUAUAUUAUUUUUAGAAGGAAUGGUAUUAUACAAAAAUAAUUAGGAUGGGAAAUGAAUUGAUUAUCAUAUAGAACAUGAGUUUUGGCGAAGAAACUUGAAGUUUGGUGUAAUGGUAGUAGCCAUAUUGUUCAUUUUAAUUCGUUUGGUGAUGAUGAGAUUAGAAACGGUAUAUUAAAAUGAAUUCCUUAUUGAUUAAUGAAUUUGCUAGACUGUGAACUAUGAGUUUAAACUAGAAUUUAUAAUUUCUAGAAAAUGGCAAUUGUUAAGAGAUUGAUUCUUAUAAAUUUUUACUAAUCAAAACUAAGAAUAAGUGUUUUAAUUUUCUUUAAGAUGAUAUGAACUAAGUCUAUAUUGGUGGUAGGAAUGAGUUUUUCAUAAAUUGUUGUUAAUAUAAGGUUCUAGUGAUCAAAAUGAAAUUAAAAUGAGAGUUAUCUUGAAAUGGCAGCAACUAUUUCUAACUAAUCCUUUAAAUUAUUGCUUGGUAUGGUACAUAUGAGGUUGUAAGUUCAAUCUUUGCAAGGGAUUGGUUAGUUGGUGUGUAAUCUAUGAUUUUAGUAUAGAAGAACUCUAAAUUUUUGUGCAUUAGCAGCAAUAAACUUGAGAUCUUGUGUUGUUUAGAAGGACAAAUAUAUAUAAGCGAGUGUAUUUUCAAGUUUCUUGCUGGUUGAUAUAUAAAUAAUUAUUUAUAUUCGAUAGACGAUUAAAAUGUGUUUAUUGGCUAUGAUCAUGUUUGGUGAGGAUGAUGGUUCGUAGGUCAUUAAAUUGAAUUAUGAGAUCUUAGUUAAUAAUCAAGGAAAUAAAAGAGUUUAUGAAUUUUAGUUGUAUAUGGUUAUUAAAGAUAUAUAUAUUUGGAAUAAGAGUUAUUAUGAAAGCUAACUAAUUUAAUGGUACAAGAUUUGUUUAUAUAUAUAUGUAUGUAUAAAUGAUUUUAUUUAUUCUGUAAUUAGCUAAAGAAGCUAAUUAUAUUGACGUGAAGUAAGAAUGAUUGAUAAUGUUU